GAUGAACGCUGGCGGCGUGCCUAAUACAUGCAAGUCGAGCGAACGGACGAGAAGCUUGCUUUUCUGAUGUUAGCGGCGGACGGGUGAGUAACACGUGGAUAACCUACCUAUAAGACUGGGAUAACUUCGGGAAACCGGAGCUAAUGCCGGAUAAUAUUUUGAACCGCAUGGUUCAAAAGUGAAAGACGGUCUUGCUGUCACUUAUAGAUGGAUCCGCGCUGCAUUAGCUAGUUGGUAAGGUAACGGCUUACCAAGGCAACGAUGCAUAGCCGACCUGAGAGGGUGAUCGGCCACACUGGAACUGAGACACGGUCCAGACUCCUACGGGAGGCAGCAGUAGGGAAUCUUCCGCAAUGGGCGAAAGCCUGACGGAGCAACGCCGCGUGAGUGAUGAAGGUCUUCGGAUCGUAAAACUCUGUUAUUAGGGAAGAACAUAUGUGUAAGUAACUGUGCACAUCUUGACGGUACCUAAUUAGAAAGCCACGGCUAACUACGUG
rnacentral:rRNA from 1 species